rnacentral:rRNA from 1 species
AUUGAACGCUAGCGGGAUGCCUUACACAUGCAAGUCGAACGGAGUGGCGAACGGGUGAGUAAUGUAUCGGCACGUGCCCAGUAGCGGGGGAUAACUACGCGAAAGCGUAGCUAAUACCGCAUACUAUUGGAGCGGCCGAUAUCGGAUGAGCUAGUUGGUGGGGUAACGGCUCACCAAGGCGACGAACCUUAGCUGGUUUGAGAGGACGACCAGCCACACCGGGACUGAGAAACGACCCAGACUCCUACGGGUGACAGCAGUGGGGAAUUUUGGACAAUAGGGGAAACCCUGAUCCAGCCCUCCCGCGUGUGCGAUGAAGGCCUUCGGGUUAUAAAGCACUUUUGGCAGGAAAGCGGUACCUGCAGAAUAAGCACCGGCUAACUACGUGCCAGCAGCCGCAGUAAUUC